rnacentral:rRNA from 1 species
CCUACGGGAGGCUGCAGUGGGGAAUAUUGGACAAUGGGCGAAAGUCUGAUCCAGCCAUGCCGCGUGUGUGAAGAAGGCCUUCGGGUUGUAAAGCACUUUCAGUGGGGAAGAAAGCCUUGGGGCUAAUACCCUCGAGGAAGGACAUCACCCACAGAAGAAGCACCGGCUAACUCCGUGCCAGCAGCCGCGGUAAUACGGAGGGUGCGAGCGUUAAUCGGAAUUACUGGGCGUAAAGCGCGCGUAGGCGGUCUGAUAAGCCGGUUGUGAAAGCCCCGGGCUCAACCUGGGAACGGCAUCCGGAACUGUCAGGCUAGAGUGCAGGAGAGGAAGGUAGAAUUCCCGGUGUAGCGGUGAAAUGCGUAGAGAUCGGGAGGAAUACCAGUGGCGAAGGCGGCCUUCUGGACUGACACUGACGCUGAGGUGCGAAAGCGUGGGUAGCAAACAGGAUUAGAUACCCGGGUAGUC